rnacentral:lncRNA from 1 species
UUAUGACAGGGAAGCCUGGUGUGCUGCAGUUCAUGGGGUGGCAAAGAGUCGGACACAACCUAGGGACUGAACAACAAUGACAAGAUAGUAGUGUCUGUUCUGGCUCCCUCAUAGCACAGUUUUGAAAGUUGGGAUGAGGAUCAUCUGGGGGUACAGAUAUGAAAUAAUGUUUGACCCCCCAAAGUACAAUUUGCCGACAACUGAGAAAAUCUGCUGCCCGUUUUCAGAUACAUAUUAUUUGUGCUUUCUGCUACCAAGAAUCAUUUUGGCUGUGUAAUAAGAGAUAUACAAUUGUUCUUCUGUAUCCAUG